rnacentral:sRNA from 2 species
AUAAAAGUGUUGCUGGAACGGAGGAACCACUAUUUGGGGCUAAUCUCGCAAAGGGAGUCUUUGGAAACAGAGUGACCAAGACAAUGAGAAGAGCAUCUCUCAGCUCUCGCCCGUCAGCUAACUUCGUAGGCAUUGAGAGGAGGCUGA